CCGGUCAACAGAAGGUCGCGCAACAACAACAGAACAACAGAACACACAGAGCACCGCCGGUCCGCGGGUCGGUUUGAUUUUCAGGAUCUCUUCACUGUGAGCGGGAAACUGACUGCUUCCUGUCCGGCAGUCUGGACACAGUGCCUCCUCUCAGGUAACAAGCUAAGGGUUAGCUCUGCCGGACCGGCCGUAAGCUCCGGACUAACCGAACUGAAGUGUUCCCGGUCCGCCAGGAGGGACCGAGACCCUUUUAGCUCCGUUAGCUGUUAGCUGUUAGCAUGCAGUGUGCUAACCUCCUGAAGAAGAGGAGCCUGGAGCCGGAGUCGUGGAACUGCAGAGCGAAGCGGGUGUGUUUGGAGGCGGAGGUCCAGACAGCUGAAUGUCCAAUGGAGACUACCCACAGCUUCCCUGUGACCAAUCAGCAAGAAGAAAAGCAGGUCCGAUCCAGACCUCCUCAGCUCUGCUGUCCCAGGUGUCUCGGAGGAGAACCAGGCCACAUCAACCACAUCAUGGGCCAUUGAGCAACAACACUCCUACAGCAGGAGAAGGAGCAGCAGCAGCCCCCCAACCUCCUGACCCCUUCAUGGUCCUCUGUUGUCCUGAAAACCCUCAGAGACCGUCCACACUGCAGCUGUCAACUCAGAUUCCUGCUGCAGGUGUUUCACUAACUCACCUUGACGGACCAAUCUGGUACCUUUUGUCACGUUUUGACUCUUUAACUCCAGGUGACGAGUUCAUAUAUUCCUGCUGAUGUGUUCAAGGACUUUCCAACAUCUGAUGUGAAUCCGUCUCUGUCUCCUCCGUGUGGGUUGAUUUUCUGACCGCAGAGCUCACAGCCCACUCUCAAAUCUCACAUGUCCACGUGUCCUUGAAUGCACCAUCAGGUGGAAUUUGGAAAAAAAAUUCAGCAAAAUGUUACUUUAACGUUGAGCUGUAAGAGCAAUAAUUAGCAUCACUGAUGUAGCCCCGCCCCCUGCUCCUCCUAUCCAAUCAAACUUCUUUCUCCUCCUACCUGAUGUCUGAUUGGUUCACAUGUUGUCAGACACCUGAACACAGCGGCAAUUUGUCUGACAUGCAGUGAACUCAUCACUUUAAUUUGUGUAGUUUUAUGUGUUAAUGAUAUGUAAUCAAUAAUCAGUGACUCCCAGCUAUGAUUAGUGAUUUGACCUUUGACCUCCCCACUGCCUCUGAUGUCAUUGUUCUCAAGAGGCGUUCACUGUCUCUGAGCUUACUCAGUAAAGGGCUAUUACACUGCUUUUAAUGGCAAAUAAUGAAAGGGAUCCACAUCAGGUUUGUUUGUUUACAUCAGGUGUUUACUGUCAACCAAUCAGAUCCUCCCCAAUAUCCACACCUGUGUGUUAAAGGGACAGAGACGUGUUAAUUACAGGGAAACUUCCUGUUUGUAGAUUUCUAUUUUUAUGAAGCAGAGUUUUAUAUUUUAAACCAGUUUAUUUUUAAUGUGACGGAAUGUAAAACAAUUCUAUUUUUGAUUACAUAAUUUCCUGCUUUGGGUCUGACCAAUCAGAGGGCAGCGUUUGCAUUGCAGCUUAAUUUCAAAAUAAAACUUUUGUCUGAAACCUGA